rnacentral:lncRNA from 10 species
GGAGAUGGGAGAUAGGGGUGUGAGAGCAACAGGAAUGGAGGAUUUCCUGACACCUGAAUAGUCAGAGAGACCAUCACAGGGAAGGUGACACAUGAGAAGAGGCUUCACAGAAGAAAAGGAAGAAACUACCAGGAAUUUCUUAUUUUGUCCAAAUGGACCCAAUCUAGUCUUGACCAGUGGAAGGUUCCUGCUAUUUCUUCUGAGGCCACAACUGCCUUUGCCAAUGCCUCAUCAGAGCCUCUUUCAUGGGAGCUACUGUGAUAAUCUACUUAAAUAGCUAUCCAAUCUUCACAACUACACUGGAAAAUAGCAACCAUCUCAAUGCUGGGCAUUUAGAAACUAUCUGUUGCAUAUAAAACAUCUAUUGAAGAAAAUAAUUAUUGACUUGACUAAGAGAAGGUGACUAAGCCUCCAACAGAAGAUGCCUCCGACAGAUCCAGCGCAUAAUGAGCAGAGCAGGUGACCUGGAGUCUGAUCUCCGGAGUCAUCACUUCUAACCUUGGAGGAAAUCCACGAUGGCUCUCUCACUUGUAUUCAUCUCCCAUCUGCAGCCACUCUAUAAAUUACUCUCUCCAUGUAAUCUUUGUUUGACAUUUCUCUUCCCCAAGCAGGAUUUCAGUCACACACUUUGAGGUUUUAUAUAGAAGCUAGACUCAGAACACACAAGAGGUUGCUGUGAGAACGAGCAUUUGUGUGGUCCAAGCACAGCCUGCAAUUUUGCACUCAGUCAGCACCUAGGAGGAAAAAGCCCCGUGCACUUCAGCUGUAUCUUCCAAGAGUGCCAACACGGCUGCCCCAUGAAGCCAACCUUCCCCUGUGAAUGAAUAGGCAACCUGAGAUGCAAUGAGUUUCCAAAGCCAGACCUGAAUACAGCCCGGAUUGCUAGCAGAAACCUGCCUAGACUAAUUCACAGUCACCAUUUGACUGCAUUCUCCUGCCUCUCAGCUAACAAAGGCAUUAUCUCCCAGCACUUCUAAGAGCUAAAUUGCUCUUUUAACAGCAAUUAUAAGAGUGCUAACAAAAAGCUAAAGAUUUGGAGAAUCAAUGUGCUUCUUUUACUUCUAAAUCAUUGUAUCAGAUUUCCUCCUUGAAUUAUAAUUUUAUGCUGUUAAUGAAGAAAAUGCCUCCUUUCAGAGCACUGAAUAAGAAAGGUACAUUUUUGUACAUUCUAAGCCUCCUUUUAAGAAAAAUCACUUUUAUCUCUCCAUUUUAUGGGCAUAAAGAGGGAAAUCAUAUUUUGAAUAAUUACAGGAAACAGUCUGCUACAAAUGGUAUAUGUGAUAAAAUACCUGUUAGCUACAAUUAAGUUAAAAUUUUAGGGAAAAUCACAAAGUAGAUCAAUUUAUUCCCACACAUCAUUCUCCAACUUCAUGUACAAUUAAUUAGAGGAUAAUGUGAAAUAUAAGCAUGGAGCCAUGUGCUUUUAUUGCAUUUCAACUAAAAUCCUUGGUCCUUACUGUCAGAGGCAUGUGAACAACAGCAACUGCAUCUUGAAUAGGAACUACAUAAAAUGAGGCUGAAACCUAUUGAGCUGCAUUCCCAGACAGUAAAGGCAUUCUAAAUCACGGAAUGAGAUAGGAGGUCAGCAUAAGAUACAGACCUUGCUGAUAAAACAGGUUGCAGUAAAGAAACCGGCUAAAUCUCCAAGAUGGCCACGAAAGUACCUCUGGUCAUCCUCACUAUUACACUCCCAUCAGGGCCAUGAGAGUUUACAAAUGCCAUGGCAAUGUCAGGAAGUCACCAUUUAUGGUCUAAAAAGGAGAGGCGUGAAUAAUCCACCCCUUGUUUAGCAUAUCAACAAGAAAUAACCAUAAAAAUGGGCAACCAUCAGCCCUCAGGCCUGCUGUCUAUGGAGUAACCAUUCUUUUAUUCCUUCAUUUUCCUAAUAAACUUGCUUUCACUUUACUGACUCUCCCUGAAUUCUUUCUUGUGCGAGAUCCAAGAACCCUCUUUUGAGGUCUGGACCCGGACCCCUUUCCUGUAAUGUUACUAUCUCUGAUUUCAUGAUUCUGAUGUUUAAAUUACUUGUAAAAUAAAUCCCUAUUUAAUAGUAUCUGUGACUAUACCACAUAAAUAUUUCAUCAGUUAGGGCUAUUCUUG